rnacentral:rRNA from 1 species
GACGAACCGUGCGAACGUUGUUCGGAAUUACUGGGCGUAAAGCGCGCGCAGGCGGCUAUCCAAGUCAGUGGUGAAAGCCCGGAGCUCAACUCCGGAACUGCCAUUGAAACUGUUUAGCUUGAGGACGAGAGAGGUGAGUGGAAUUCCCGGUGUAGCGGUGAAAUGCGCAGAUAUCGGGAGGAACACCAAUGGCGAAGGCAGCUCGCUGGGACGGUACUGACGCUGAGACGCGAAAGCGUGGGGAGCAAACAGG